UACGGGGGGGGCAAGCGUUGUUCGGAAUUACUGGGCGUAAAGGGCGCGUAGGCGGUUGGAUAAGUCAGCUGUGAAAACCACGAGCUUAACUCGUGGCCUGCAGUUGAGACUGUCUGGCUUGAGUGUGGGAGAGGGAUGUGGAAUUCCAGGUGUAGCGGUGAAAUGCGUAGAUAUCUGGAGGAACACCGGUGGCGAAGGCGGCAUCCUGGACCGGUAUUGACGCUGAGGCGCGAAAGCUAGGGGAGCAAACGGG
rnacentral:rRNA from 1 species